AUUGAACGCUGGCGGCAGGCCUAACACAUGCAAGUCGAGCGAGAGGCGGACGGGUGAGUAAUGUCUGUGAAACUGCCUGAUGGGGGGGGAUAACUACUGGAAACGGUAUCUCAUACCGCAUACCAUCAGAUGUGCCCAGAUGGGAUUAGCGAGUAGGUGGGGUAACGUCUCACCUAGGGGACGAGCCCUAGCUGGGCUGAGAGGAUGACCAGCCACACUGGAACUGAGACACGGUCCAGACUCCUACGGGAGGCAGCAGUGGGGAAUAUUGCUCAAUGGGCGCAAGCCUGAUGCAGCCAUGCCGCGUGUGUGAAGAAGGCCUUCGGGUUGUAAAGCACUUUCAGCGGGGAGGCGUUACCCGCAGAAGAAGCACCGGCUAACUCCGUGCCAGCAGCCGCGGUAAUUC
rnacentral:rRNA from 1 species